GUAGGUGAACCUGCGGAAGGAUCAUUAACACGUACCCAACGUUAAACCCCCCGUGAACCUUCAAAGUGCUCUUGGUGCCUUUACGGAACAGCAAUCCUGGUAAAUCAGUGGCGAGAUUCGUUUUUGAUUCAGGACCUCUGUCCAUGGUGCCAAUCGAGCGCAAAGUUAGUGGGUCUGGUUACCUGGCCUGGCUCCUCACGAGCCGGCGAACAGACCUGCAGGGCUUCGGCCCCCUAUCUGACGACCAAGUUAAACCGGGCCUGGUCACAUAGCAAGUGCGCCGUGAUGCAGGUAAAUCGUACAACUGUUAACAAUGGAUAUCUUGGUUCUC
rnacentral:misc_RNA from 1 species